rnacentral:rRNA from 1 species
UACGGAGGGGGCUAGCGUUGUUCGGAAUUACUGGGCGUAAAGGGCGCGCAGGCGGCUGCUCAAGUCAGGCGUGAAAGGCCUGGGCUCAACCCGGGAAUUGCGCUUGAGACUGGGCUGGCUUGAGUGCGGGAGAGGAUGGUGGAAUUCCCAGUGUAGAGGUGAAAUGCGUAGAUAUCUGGAGGAACACCGGUGGCGAAGGCGGCGUUCUGGACUGCAACUGACACUGAGGAACGAAAGCCAGGGGAGCAAACGGG